rnacentral:rRNA from 2 species
GUCGGAUGUGAAAUCCCCGGGCUCAACCUGGGAACUGCAUUCGAAACUGGCAGGCUUGAGUCUUGUAGAGGGGGGUAGAAUUCCAGGUGUAGCGGUGAAAUGCGUAGAGAUCUGGAGGAAUACCGGUGGCGAAGGCGGCCCCCUGGACAAAGACUGACGCUCAGGUGCGAAAGCGUGGGGAGCAAACAGGAUUAGAUACCCUGGUAGUCCACGCCGUAAACGAUGUCUACUUGGAGGUUGUGCCCUUGAGGCGUGGCUUCCGGAGCUAACGCGUUAAGUAGACCGCCUGGGGAGUACGGCCGCAAGGUUAAAACUCAAAUGAAUUGACGGGGGCCCGCACAAGCGGUGGAGCAUGUGGUUUAAUUCGAUGCAACGCGAAGAACCUUAC